rnacentral:miRNA from 1 species
GAUGUAUUGUCGUCGCGCAAAGU